rnacentral:rRNA from 1 species
UACAGAGGUCCCGAGCGUUGUUCGGAUUCACUGGGCGUAAAGGGUGCGUAGGUGGCUUGAAAAGUUUGAUGUGAAAGCUCAGGGCUUAACCCUGAAAUGGCAUUGAAUACUGUCGAGCUGGAGAUUUGGAGGGGGGACUGGAAUUCUUGGUGUAGCAGUGAAAUGCGCAGAUAUCAGGAGGAACACCGGUGGCGAAGGCGGGUCUCUGGGCCGAUACUGACGCUGAGGAGCGAAAGCGUGGGGAGCGAACAGG